AGGGGGAGGGUGGUGGCAUCACUGGUACUGAUGUAAUGUCUGCCCACAGUACCACACAUGCCGCCCCCCACACCCUAC
ncrna:Eptesicus fuscus (big brown bat) microRNA efu-mir-9186i precursor